UCCACGCCGUAAACGAUGGAUACUAAGCAUUGGCAGUAUCGACCCUGCCAGUGCUGUUAAUUUAAGGUAACCCGUUAAGUAUCCCGCCUGGGGAGUACGAGCGCAAGCUUAAAACUCAAAGGAAUAGACGGGGACCCGCACAAGCGGUGGAGCAUGUGGUUUAAUUCGACAGUAAGCGAAAAACCUCACCAAGGCCUUGACAUCUAGCUGCAAGGUCUGGAAACAGACUCGCC
rnacentral:rRNA from 1 species